rnacentral:misc_RNA from 1 species
GAUGAAGAACGUAGUGAAAUGCGAUAAGUAAUGUGAAUUGCAGAAUUCAGUGAAUCAUCGAAUCUUUGAACGCAUCUUGCGCUCCUUGGUAUUCUGAGGAGCAUGCCUGUUUGAGUGUCAUUAAAUUCUCAACUACACUGACUUUGAAUUGGUGCGGCUUGGAUUUGGGGGGAAAAUUGUUGUGGGCUUUUUGUAUAGUCUGCUCCCCUGAAAUUGAUUAGCGGUACCUUUGUGGAACUGUCUACAGGUGUGAUAAUUAUCUACAUCUUAGACAUCUGCUGGAAUGCUGCUUUCUAAACCUUACUUGUAUUGACAAUCUUGACCUCAAAUCAGGUAGGACUACCCGCUGAACUUAAGCAUAUCAAUAAGCGGAGGA